rnacentral:lncRNA from 1 species
AAGAAGCUCCUGGGGCAGAGUCAUCUAUUCCCACCAAGAGCUCAGGGUGGUUGCAAGGGCAAAUUCCUCUGGAGGGAAGGAAGGAACAUGAGGAAGAGCCCCAGUCCAUACGGAAUGUGGAGGAUGGUCCCAAUCCCCCAGGAAGCGGAACUGGAGCUCAGCCAGUGCUCACUAAAAUACCAGGACACAAGUGGUCCCUGGAUGAGCAAAGGGAAAGGUGAACUUCUCUCCCCUCUAAACAUGGAAGACAGUCUGUGUCUGUUGAGCACUUGCCGUUGGAAACACUCCUCCUCGGAGGAAUGGUUGGAGUCUUUCUUCCCCUGAAUUUAAACCUAGAUUAAACAGAAGAACGAAGAAAACUACCCAAGAGGCUCUUUUCUCAUAUUUCC